rnacentral:rRNA from 1 species
ACUCCUACGGGAGGCAGCAGUGGGGAAUAUUGCACAAUGGGCGCAAGCCUGAUGCAGCAACGCCGUGUGAGUGAAGAAGGUUUUCGGAUCGUAAAACUCUGUCCUAAGGGAAGAAACAAAUGACGGUACCUUAGGAGGAAGCCCCGGCUAACUACGUGCCAGCAGCCGCGGUAAUACGUAGGGGGCAAGCGUUAUCCGGAAUCACUGGGCGUAAAGGGUGCGUAGGCGGCUUAGCAAGCCAGGGGUGAAAGGCAUUGGCUCAACCAAUGUAAGCCUUUGGAACUGUUAAGCUUGAGUGCAGGAGAGGUAAGUGGAAUUCCUAGUGUAGAGGUGAAAUUCGUAGAUAUUAGGAGGAACACCAGUGGCGAAGGCGACUUACUGGACUGUAACUGACGCUGAAUGCACGAAAGCGUGGGUAGCGAACAGGAUUAGAUACCCUGGUAAGCACAGA